rnacentral:rRNA from 1 species
AAUCUUAGACAAUGGGCGCAAGCCUGAUCUAGCGAUGCCGCGUGAGUGAAGAAGGCCCUAGGGUCGUAAAGCUCUUUCGCCAGGGAUGAUAAUGACAGUACCUGGUAAAGAAGUUCCGGCUAACUCCGUGCCAGCAGCCGCGGUAAUACGGAGGGAACUAGCGUUGUUCGGAAUUACUGGGCGUAAAGCGCACGUAGGCGGAUCAGAAAGUAAGAGGUGAAAUCCCAGGGCUCAACCCUGGAACUGCCUUUUAAACUCCUGGUCUUGAGUUCGAGAGAGGUGAGUGGAAUUCCAAGUGUAGAGGUGAAAUUCGUAGAUAUUUGGAGGAACACCAGUGGCGAAGGCGGCUCACUGGCUCGAUACUGACGCUGAGGUGCGAAAGCGUGGGGAGCGAACAGG